rnacentral:rRNA from 1 species
GGAGGGUGCAAGCGUUAAUCGGAAUUACUGGGCGUAAAGCACGCGUAGGCGGAUACUUAAGUCGGAUGUGAAAUCCCCGGGCUCAACCUGGGAACUGCAUUCGAUACAGGGUGUCUAGAGUAUGGUAGAGGAAGGUGGAAUUCCCGGUGUAGCGGUGGAAUGCGUAGAUAUCGGGAGGAACAUCAGUGGCGAAGGCGGCCUUCUGGACCAAUACUGACGCUGAGGCGUGAAAGCGUGGGGAGCAAACAGGGAUUAGAUACCCUGGUAGUCCACGCCGUCAACGAUGAGAACUAGAUGUUGGGGGACUGCGAGUCCCUUAGUAUCGAAGCUAACGCGUUAAGUUCUCGCCUGGGGAUACGGCCGCAAGGCUA